UCAGGGUUAAUGUAAUAAUGCAGGUAGGCAAGUAAUUUCCGGCUGUGGUACUUGCGGUCCUGCUCUCCGAACUCCGAUUCGAUCUUCGGGCACAAGAUCAUACAGCAGGUUCUGCAGGCCCCACAUCAGCUCCUCCGCGGCUUCAUCGCACCUACAGGGAAUUCCCUGUGUAUGACCACACACAAUAAUAUUGGAGUUGCCAUCAGGAUUUUGCACACUUGCACAAGCAACAAGGAAAAGCAUCGAUACUAACCAGAUUGCUUUCAAUAGCUUCUUUGUAUUUAGAUUCGCCG
rnacentral:lncRNA from 1 species